rnacentral:rRNA from 1 species
CCUACGGGUGGCUGCAGUAGGGAAUUUUCGUCAAUGGGCGCAAGCCUGAACGAGCAAUGCCGCGUGAACGAGGAAGGUCUUCGGAUCGUAAAGUUCUGUUGAAGGGGAAGAAGAGCGGAGAGAGGAAAUGCUUUCUGAUUGAUAUUACCCUUCGAGGAAGUCACGGCUCACUACGUGCCAGCACCCGCGGUGAUACGUAGGUGGCGAGCGUUAGCCGGAAUGAUUGGGCGUAAAGGGUGCGUAGGCUGCCUGCUAAGUCUGGAGUGAAAGGUACCGGCUCAACCGGUAUAGGCUCUGGAAACUGGCGGGCUAGAGAGGAGGAGAGGGCGGUGGAACUCCAUGGGUAGCGGUAAAAUGCGUAGAUAUAUGGAAGAACAUCAGUGGCGAAGGCGGCCGCCUGGCUUGUUAACUGACGCUGAGGCACGAAAGCGUGGGGAGCAAAUAGGAUUAGAUACCCUAGUAGUC